rnacentral:rRNA from 1 species
CUACGGGGUGCACCAGUGGGGAAUAUUGCACAAUGGGCGCAAGCCUGAUGCAGCCAUGCCGCGUGUAUGAAGAAGGCCUUCGGGUUGUAAAGUACUUUCAGCGGGGAGGAAGGGAGUAAAGUUAAUACCUUUGCUCAUUGACGUUACCCGCAGAAGAAGCACCGGCCAACUCCGUGCCAGCAGCCGCGGUAAUACGGAGGGUGCAAGCGUUAAUCGGAAUUACUGGGCGUAAAGCGCACGCAGGCGGUUUGUUAAGUCAGAUGUGAAAUCCCCGGGCUCAACCUGGGAACUGCAUCUGAUACUGGCAAGCUUGAGUCUCGUAGAGGGGGGUAGAAUUCCAGGUGUAGCGGUGAAAUGCGUAGAGAUCUGGAGGAAUACCGGUGGCGAAGGCGGCCCCCUGGACGAAGACUGACGCUCAGGUGCGAAAGCGUGGGGAGCAAACAGGAUUAGAUACCCCAGUAGUC